rnacentral:rRNA from 1 species
CCUACGGGCGGCAGCAGUGAGGAAUAUUGGUCAAUGGACGUAAGUCUGAACCAGCCAUGCCGCGUGCAGGAAGACGGCCCUAUGAGUUGUAAACUGCUUUUAUACAAGGGUAAACUUGAAUACGUGUAUUCUGCUGAAAGUACUGUAUGAAUAAGGAUCGGCUAACUCCGUGCCAGCAGCCGCGGUAAUACGGAGGAUCCGAGCGUUAUCCGGAUUUAUUGGGUUUAAAGGGAGCGUAGGCGGGUUGUUAAGUCAGUUGUGAAAGUUUGCGGCUCAACCGUAAAAUUGCAAUUGAUACUGGCAGUCUUGAGUGCAGUUGAGGUAGGCGGAAUUCGUGGUGUAGCGGUGAAAUGCUUAGAUAUCACGAAGAACUCCGAUUGCGAAGGCAGCUUACUGAACUUCAACUGACGCUGAUGCUCGAAAGUGUGGGUAUCAAACAGGAUUAGAUACCCUUGUAGUC